GCGGCGUGCGGGCUCCGUUCGCUGGAGAAGCUUGCUGCGGACCAGCGCCACGUGCUUCCCCGUCUAACGGCGGCAACCGCGUUGC
rnacentral:pre_miRNA from 1 species